rnacentral:rRNA from 1 species
GACGAACGCUGGCGGCGUGCUUAACACAUGCAAGUCGAACGGAAAGGCCCUGCUUUUGUGGGGUGCUCGAGUGGCGAACGGGUGAGUAACACGUGAGUAACCUGCCCCUGACUUUGGGAUAACUUCUGGAAACUGGGGCUAAUACCGGAUAGGAGCUCCUGCUGCAUGGUGGGGGUUGGAAAGUUUCGGCGGUCGGGGAUGGACUCGCGGCUUAUCAGCUUGUUGGUGGGGUAGUGGCUUACCAAGGCUUUGACGGGUAGCCGGCCUGAGAGGGUGACCGGCCACAUUGGGACUGAGAUACGGCCCAGACUCCUACGGGAGGCAGCAGUGGGGAAUAUUGCACAAUGGGCGGAAGCCUGAUGCAGCAACGCCGCGUGCGGGAUGACGGCCUUCGGGUUGUAAACCGCUUUCGCCUGUGACGAAGCGUGAGUGACGGUAAUGGGUAAAGAAGCACCGGCUAACUACGUG